GUGCCAGCAGCCGCGGUAAUACGUAGGGUGCAAGCAUUAAUCGGAUUUAUUGGGCGUAAAGGGCGCGUAGGCGGGGACGUAAGUCAGAUGUGAAAUCCCGGGGCUCAACCUCGGAACAGCAUUUGAAACUACGUUUCUAGAGGGUAGGCGGAGAAAACGGAAUUCCACAAGUAGCGGUGAAAUGCGUAGAUAUGUGGAAGAACACCAGUGGCGAAGGCGGUUUUCUAGCUUAUACCUGACGCUAAAGCGCGAAAGCAAGGGGAGCAAACAGGAUUAGAUACCCUGGUAGUCCUUGCCGUAAACGAUGUAUACUUGGUGUAGCUGGAUUCAACCCUGGCUGUGCCGGAGCUAACGCGUUAAGUAUACCGCCUGGGGAGUACAGUCGCAAGGCUGAA
rnacentral:rRNA from 1 species